rnacentral:misc_RNA from 1 species
AAUUCUCAAAACCUAUUGUUCUUCUUGAAUUGGUAGGCUUUGGAUGUGAGGGCUUUGCUGGCCUUUGACAGGUUCAGCUCCCUUCAAAUGCAUUAGUGGUUGCUGAUCCGCUUUCAAUUGGUGUGAUAGUUAUCUACACCUUUGAAGUGGAAUUGCUUGCUUAUCCGCUUCUAACUGUCUUUUUGGACAACUUGACC